UCGAUACAAUACGCAAGUUGAAUAUUGCAAUGAAUUUCUCAAAGAUAUUUAUCUUCGUUUUCGCCUGCAUUCUGGCAUUCUCCUCUGCAGCGCCUAAAUGGAAAUUGUUCAAGAAAAUUGAGCGAGUGGGACAAAACAUUCGAAAUGGGAUCAUCAAAGCUGGACCGGCAGUACAAGUUGUAGGACAAGCCAGCUCGAUAUACAAACAGGGAUAAAAUAAAUACUCAACUAUUAUGACUAAUAUGUAAAGAUAGACUAACACUUAGUAUUAUUAUUUAUAUUAUAAUUAAGUUUUAAAUAUAUAUAAUUUUAUAUAACUGGU